AUUGGGUGCAGGAGGGAUCUGCAACCUGGGACCGACAACAGACAUAGAUUAAAAACAAACAAGAGAAGCCUGAUCUCCCCGGCCAGAAGACUAGGGAAAGGAAAGCCAACCAGAGACCUAGUGGGGACCUCCAGCCUCAGGCAUUCAGCUCUGUGAAUAAAAGCAUUCUGCUGAUUUCUGCUGCCCUGUAUCCAGACGGAAGGAAUGGCUGCUUGGCCACCUGCCUUUUGCUUGGAUUGGCAGAAAUCUGGCUUAAUCUGGCUUCUCCAGUCCUCCAUCACCUGGCCAGGAGAUCCAUGUUGCAGCUGGGAGCAUGGGGAAAUCUGGACACGCACUUCACCAAAAUGAGACAACUGUGGCAGGAGACAGGCUAAGGCGAGUGGGGACAAAUCAAUGUGCUGGAUGCCCUGGUGUACCUGUGACGAAGAAGCAGGAGCUGGGAAGAGAGAGGAAAAGGAAAUAGACAACUGAAGAAAUGGAGGUGCUACUGGCUCAAGGAACCUGGAUUCAUUUAGAGAGUGUGCCCAGGAUGAGACGUGUGGAGAGCCUGGCCUGAACCAACACUAACAGUCUCCUGGACAGGAG
ensembl:lncRNA novel transcript